rnacentral:rRNA from 1 species
UACGUAGGGUGCGAGCGUUGUCCGGAAUUAUUGGGCGUAAAGAGCUCGUAUGCGGUUUGUUGCGUCUAUCGUGAAAACCUGCAGCUUAACUGUGGGCUUGCGGUGGAUACGGGCAGACUUGAGUUCGGUAGGGGAGACUGGAAUUCCUGGUGUAGCGGUGAAAUGCGCAGAUAUCAGGAGGAACACCGGUGGCGAAGGCGGGUCUCUGGGCCGAUACUGACGCUGAGGAGCGAAAGCGUGGGGAGCGAACAGG